AACCAAGGAGUCUCCUCUCAGAAAGAGAGGUCCAUUGGAACCUUGGAGGAGCCACUCCCUGAAUGUGUGUGGAAAAGUGGAUCCAUGUAUUACAGCCAGAAUUUUCCUGCAAGAAAUAAUAUUCCAAUCAAUUGUGAUAAGUACAGUUAGCAGACAGCUUCCGGCUGAGGAGAUUGUAUUAUCUAUUACAGCAUUUGAGCCAAGACCUUCCUCUUUCCAGUUAACCUCAGCCACUACCUGAGCAUGUUCAGGUACUAAAGUUUUAGGGACAUACCUAGUAUGUGAUCCAAACCUUUCCUCUUGAGAGAUCUGCAUACCUGGAAACCAGAUCUUUCUUACGAUAGGAUCGCUGUGCAUGUCCAAUCAUAGUCACUUGGGGACAAGGGAGGAUUAGACAUGCCUAAGCAGUUCAUCUAUAUUCCACAUACAGUCCUCACUGCCUUCAUAUGUAGCAGGAACCCUAGCUUUUUCCUGGUGAUGAGUCAGUUACCCCUGCUAGGAUGGUCAAUUGGCAACAUGACUGCUGGUCCCAGGAUGCCAUGAAUCUAAAGGACUCUGUUAAUGUUUGGUGGAUUUUCUUGUUUCCUUCUAUAUAUAUAUAUAUAUAUAUUCAAUAUAAUAUAUGUAUAUUCUUUUUAUUAUUAUUUUAAAUUUUAUUUAUUUUUAAUUGGGUUCCACAUGGAACCCAAUGUGGGGCUCGAACUCACAACCCUGAGAUCAAGACCUAAGCUGAGAUCAAGAGUCAGCUACUUAACUCACUGAGCUGCCCAGGUGCCCGGGAGCUCUAACCUAAAAUGUGAAGUGUGUUACCUCCAUAACCAAAGAGGCUUAACAGGUAGCCUUAUAUGUCCUUAUAUGUGAUAAGGGAUGCAAAAGGCAGGGGGAUAUCCCAGUAUUCACCUACUAUAAGAAUUCAAAAAAUAUUCCCAAAAUGAAUGGUCCCUGGAUAUUGAUAGGGUUUCUUCCCAGCUUCUGCAGCACAUAUUUUUUCUUUUUUUAAACUAAAAAUCUAGCCACCAGAAAGCUAGCCACCCUACUUUUUGCCACCCUGCUCAAUUAAAAAGAUGCUUUCACUAUAAUGAAUCAAUACAAUAUUAUGAAUGAUAUCAUGAUAGUCAUGAUGUGUUCUGACAAUUAUGACAGAGACCUGGAGAGUUAAAGUAGCAUCAGGCAAAAUUCUUAAGUGUAUAUUUUGUCAGUUGUGUGUGAGUGCAAACUGUUUCUGUUUUUCUUUUCUCUUUGGGAUAGGAAA
rnacentral:lncRNA from 1 species